rfam:Talaromyces stipitatus ATCC 10500 scf_1107713415083 genomic scaffold, whole genome shotgun sequence.
GGGGUUAUAGUUUAAAUGGAAAAACUGCGAUUUUGCAUAUCGUUAUUUCGGGUUCGAUUCCUGAUAACUCCA